rnacentral:rRNA from 1 species
AUUGAACGCUGGCGGCAGGCCUAACACAUGCACGUCGAGCGAGCGGCGGACGGGUGAGUAAUGUCCGGGAAACUGCCUGCUGUAGGGGGAUAACUACUGGAAACGGUAGCUAAUACCGCAUACCAUCAGAUGUGCCCAGAUGGGAUUAGUUAGUAGGUGGGGAAACGGCUCACCUAGGCGACGAUCCCUAGCUGGUCUGAGAGGAUGACCAGCCACACUUGAACUGCGACACGGUCCAGACGCCUACGGGAGGCAGCAGUGGGGAAUAUUGCACAAUGGGCGCAAGCCUGAUGCAGCCAUGCCGCGUGUGUGAAGAAGGCCUUCGGGUUGUAAAGCACUUUCAGCGGGAAGGCGUUACCCGCAGAAGAAGCCCCGGCUAACUCCGUGCCAGCAGCCGCGGUAAUUC